rnacentral:lncRNA from 14 species
CAAGUCAAAUGAAUGGAUUUAAUGGAUGGUUUGUACUGGUUGUUCUUGAUCAGUGGUCUCUGUUUUACUGCUGGGACUAAAGACAGAAGUCCCUUUUUGCCACUCAGAAUAUCUCAGUUCAGUGUCUUUAAAAGAGGGAAGUUGAACAUUAAAGUUCUUUUUGGUCCGUCAGGGCCAGUUUGAAUAGGUAAGAGCCAUCCUCAGCAAAAUGCCAUUCUAGUGGUGGGGGUGUACAGAACACAAUGACUGGUAUGGUUUUAAUUCCUGUAUUAAGAUGUUUCCUGCUUCCUCAUGCUCUGGAUUCCAUUCCCAUGGCUUUCCCUUUCGUAACAGUGAGUACAGUGAGCGAGCAAUGAUAGAGAAUCCAGGUCCAUGUUUACUCCAGUAUCCUGCAGGACUCAAGCUGUUGUAAUUCCUUCCUAGACUGUGGCAUCUGCCCUUGUUCUGUUUUUCUGAAGAUGUCUGCAGCAAUCACUGCACUGCUGUUGUCCACCAGGUACCCUCCAAUUUGACUGUUUCUGCUUGGUUUCUGACAUUUCUUAGGUGGAACUUCAACUUCUGCACCAUGGAGUGCUUGCUACACUGCUGUUGCUGCAGUUCUUUGGGGCAAUCUCCUCCAAUUAAGACAUCAUCUAUAUAUAAUGUGCCCCAUGCCCAGAGGCAGCUCCAUCACCCAGUUCCUCCUCCUGCCAUUCCCAGACAUGAGGGAGCUGCAGCUCUGGCACUUCUGGCUCUUUCUGGGCAUCUCCCUGGCUGCGCUAGAGCAGCAACCUCGUUAUCACCAGCACAGCCUGCGACCACCACCUCCACACCCCCAGGUACUUCUUCCUCCUCAGCCUCUCCCCGCUGGACCUGGGCUGCGUCUCCACCACUGUCCACCAAUCAAUGGCAAAUUCCUUCUGGGACACUAGGGUCAUCUACACAGGUUGUGCUGCACAGGCCUUCUUUUUAUUAUCCUUGUUUGGGGCAGACUGCCCUUCUCACCAUGAUGUCCUAUGACCACUAAGUGGCCAUCUGCAAGCCCCUGCACUACGGGACCCUCCUGC